rnacentral:lncRNA from 1 species
GGCUCCAUUAGCAACUUCAAUCAAUUAUACAUAUUUAUUAAUUCAUAAAAUACCGUUUUAUCAUUUAUUAGGCUUUAAUGUCGUGAUAGGAAAUAGGGUGGGAGAUCCUUACUUGUUUUCAGAAUCUGAAAUCGGGUUUUCACUGCGCCUACAGGCAGCCCCUAGAUUCCUUGAAUUUUUUCUCCCGAAAACUGAAACACACUUCCGGCACCUGCAGAUGUCCCCAAAAAACCCCAAAUCAGACCCAGGGCCCUUUCGGCCAAUUUUAAAAUUUUGACACGGCGGCUCCGCCGUGCUCUAGCGACGGCACCACCGCCCAUGGCUGUGAUCAGUCUCGGGUUGGCCGUUUUCAACCGAAUUCAGCCAAACUCGCAUUGGUUCCUGUGAUAAAACACCCCUAGGGCUCUCGGUGGGCCAAAAAAUUCCAGAAAACUGAGACUUACCGGCUUCGAAGCUCUCGGGUACGACGGCUCCUCCGGUGCGAGUUGCAAUUCGGUGUUUUGCUCCAGUCAACCUGUAAAGAAAAUGACGAUGGUCACAGUGGUAUAAAAAUUACAUCGUACGAAAAAUGGGAAGGGCCUCAUCGGAGGCAAAAACUAAGGAAACCCGUGGCGGCGCUGCUGGACUUUGGCGAUGUUUUUUGGCCAAUCGGCUGGUGGUUUGGCUCUGAUUUGACCACAGGAAGGUUCGGCAUCAAAAAACGAGCCAUGGGGAGAAAUUUUACCUCGUUUGGCGGCUGGGAAUUCCUCCGGUGCUGCAGCGGGUGGCGGUGGCCGGUUCCUCCGGUGGCUGGAUCGUCUUCUCCGGUGAGGGUUCUGGCGGCUAGGGUUUGGGAUUGGGUGUGGAUGCAAUUAUUCAUAACCCUCCCCUUUUAAUCUGAGUCGUCCAUCAUGAUUUAAUCUGGGUCGUCCGAUCGCAAUUAAAUUAGAAAUAAAUCUGGACCGUCCAUCGCGAUACGAUCUGGACCGCCUGUGCGUGAUCAAAUCUAGACCGUCCGCUCACAU